rnacentral:rRNA from 1 species
UACGGAGGGUGCAAGCGUUAUCCGGAUUCACUGGGUUUAAAGGGUGCGUAGGUGGGUUGGUAAGUCAGUGGUGAAAUCUCCGGGCUUAACCUGGAAACUGCCAUUGAUACUAUCAAUCUUGAAUACCUUGGAGGUGAGCGGAAUAUGUCAUGUAGCGGUGAAAUGCUUAGAUAUGACAUAGAACACCAAUUGCGAAGGCAGCUCACUACACGGUCAUUGACACUGAGGCACGAA